rnacentral:rRNA from 1 species
AUGAACGCUGGCGGCGUGCCUAAUACAUGCAAGUCGAGCGAACAGACGAGGAGCUUGCUCCUCUGACGUUAGCGGCGGACGGGGGAGUAACACGUGGAUAACCUACCUAUAAGACUGGGAUAACUUCGGGAAACCGGAGCUAAUACCGGAUAAUAUAUUGAACCGCAUGGUUCAAUAGUGAAAGACGGUUUUGCUGUCACUUAUAGAUGGAUCCGCGCCGCAUUAGCUAGUUGGUAAGAUAACGGCUUACCAAGGCAACGAUGCGUAGCCGACCUGAGAGGGUGAUCGGCCACACUGGAACUGAGACACGGUCCAGACUCCUACGGGAGGCAGCAGUAGGGAAUCUUCCGCAAUGGGCGAAAGCCUGACGGAGCAACGCCGCGUGAGUGAUGAAGGUCUUCGGAUCGUAAAACUCUGUUAUUAGGGAAGAACAAAUGUGUAAGUAACUAUGCACGUCUUGACGGUACCUAAUCAGAAAGCCACGGCUAACUACGUG